rnacentral:rRNA from 1 species
UACGUAGGGUGCGAGCGUUGUCCGGAAUUACGGGGCGUAAAGAGCUCGUAGGUGGUUUGUCGCGUUGUUCGUGAAAUCUCACGGCUUAACUGUGAGCGUGCGGGCGAUACGGGCAGACUAGAGUACUGCAGGGGAGACUGGAAUUCCUGGUGUAGCGGUGGAAUGCGCAGAUAUCAGGAGGAACACCGGUGGCGAAGGCGGGUCUCUGUGCAGUAACUGACGCUGAGGAGCGAAAGCGUGGGGAGCGAACAGG